UACAAAUUAACAUCGGCUGUGGGUUCGGGGUAGAGCUGAGUGCCGCGGCUGUUACGGCUCGUACCAUACCACGUGAAUAAUAACCGUUGAAAACGUGAAACACGUGAUGGACACAAUUAUUGAUAAUCGCCCUAUCAUAAUCAAUUAUUCAUAUAUGUACCUAGCAAUAGCUGUGAAAUGCUGCCACAACAGGCGGCAACGCCAAGGAAACAAGUGGACAAGCCAAAUUCGGACAGUUACAGCUAUUGCGUGGUGCUGCCAGAUGUGCUAAGUGGCAACACUGAAAACAUUUAAGCUGCUUGUUAAUUUUAGCAGGCAGAGAAGCAGGUUAACAAGAGGAUAAAGUCAAUGGAGUAUAAAUAAAUGCAAUUAUUGAGGU
rnacentral:misc_RNA from 1 species